CCUCUUUUAUGGGGUGACUGCGUACCUUUUGUAUAAUGGGUCAGCGACUUAUAUUCUGUAGCAAGGUUAACCGAAUAGGGGAGCCGAAGGGAAACCGAGUCUUAACUGGGCGUUAAGUUGCAGGGUAUAGACCCGAAACCCGGUGAUCUAGCCAUGGGCAGGUUGAAGGUUGGGUAACACUAACUGGAGGACCGAACCGACUAAUGUUGAAAAAUUAGCGGAUGACUUGUGGCUGGGGGUGAAAGGCCAAUCAAACCGGGAGAUAGCUGGUUCUCCCCGAAAGCUAUUUAGGUAGCGCCUCGUGAAUUCAUCUCCGGGGGUAGAGCACUGUUUCGGCAAGGGGGUCAUCCCGACUUACCAACCCGAUGCAAACUGCGAAUACCGGAGAAUGUUAUCACGGGAGACACACGGCGGGUGCUAACGUCCGUCGUGAAGAGGGAAACAACCCAGACCGCCAGCUAAGGUCCCAAAGUCAUGGUUAAGUGGGAAACGAUGUGGGAAGGCCCAGACAGCCAGGAUGUUGGCUUAGAAGCAGCCAUCAUUUAAAGAAAGCGUAAUAGCUCACUGGUCGAGUCGGCCUGCGCGGAAGAUGUAACGGGGCUAAACCAUGCAC
rnacentral:rRNA from 1 species